rnacentral:rRNA from 1 species
UACAGAGGUCUCGACCGUUGUUCGGAUUCAUUGGGCGUAAAGGGUGCGUAGGCGGUCGCGCAAGUCGGAUGUGAAAUCUCAGGGCUCAACCCUGAAACUGCAUUCGAUACUGCGUGGCUAGAGUGCUGGAGAGGAGACUGGAAUUUACGGUGUAGCAGUGAAAUGCGUAGAUAUCGUAAGGAAGACCAGUGGCGAAGGCGAGUCUCUGGACAGCAACUGACGCUGAGGCACGAAGGCCAGGGGAGCAAACGGG